AAUGAACCUACGAGUUUCCUCACCAACUGCCUCCUGGUUCUGCGGGCACAGCCAUCUGCAGUGUCUGGAGGUGGAAACCUGAGAGCGCUCCUUCAGCUGCUUGGUGCCUGGUCAUGUCAGCUCUCCAGUCACCUCCACUCAGCAACAUCUACUGGCUUUUUGGGUACCUUCAGAAACAAGGAAGUCAGAUAUAUUCCCUGUAGAAUAUUCCCUUUUUUGUCCUUCACUGUGAGUUGCCAAUCAUUUAAUCUUCAUCCUCUUUAUUGUUUGUUUUUUUUUUUUUAUUAUUACUUGUUUGUAUUUUUUUUACACAAUUUCAGAAAUGCUGAGGUUGGAUGGGACCUCUCAAGAUCAUCUAGUCCAACUCCCCAUGCUCAAACAGUGCCAGCUAAAGCAGGUUGCUCAGGACAUUGUCCAGUUGGGUUUUGGAAUAUCUCCAAAGGCGGAGACUCCACAACCUCUCCGGGCAACCUGUGCCGGUGUUUGAUCACCUUUACACUAAAAAUAAAUAAAUUUCUACAUUUAAAUGGAAUUUCUUGUGUUUCAGUGUGUGCCCAUUGCCUCUUGGCCUUUCAGUGGGCACCACCACAUUGCUGGCUCACUUGUAGUCUGCUGGGAUCCUCAGGGACAGCUUUCCAGCCAGCCAGCCUUCAGCAUGUACUGGUGCAUGGGGUUAUUCUUCCUCCAGGGCAGGACGUUGCAUUGCACUUCUUGAAUUUUGUAAGGUUCCUCUUGGCUCAUUUCUUCAGCCUGUCAAAGUCCCCCCGAGUGGCACCAAACCCAUCUGGUGUAUGAACCAUUCCUCCUUGUAUUGUACCAUCUGCAAACUUGCUGAGGGUGCAAUCUGUCUCUGCAUCUAGGUCAUUAAUGUCGAGGUUACCUAACUGCAGAACAAUCAGAUAUUUCAAAUGCUGAUAGCUUUUACCCACUGGUAACGCAUUUGCUCAAUUUAUUUAGGAAUAUCCUGUUUGUGGAAAGUAAAGACAAACAAUUCUCCAUUAUUCACCUUUGUGUUUUAGGUGCAACAUAAAGCCAGGGGAUUAUUAAGUGAGCCUUAAUCUGAUGAAAACUGUAACAGAGUAUUUCCAAGAAAGCAGUUUUGUUUUUCAGGAUGAACGUCAUGCAACAACAAUUAGAGGAACACUAAGACUUAUUUUUUUACUAAAGAUUAUGUACUGAAAACAGUCUGUUUUCUAAAGUGGGUUUUGUGGCUACAACACGGAACACACAUACUAAAAAAGAACAAAGGAGACAUUAAAAGAUACCUCCUAGUCCUGGAGUAAAACUAAAACACUGGAAAUAGGAUGUUCCCAGAAAAAAAAAAAAAUAAUAAAAAUUUAAAAAUGCAUAAAGCGUAUCUAAAU
rnacentral:lncRNA from 1 species